rnacentral:rRNA from 1 species
AUACGGAGGAUGCGAGCGUUAUCCGGAUUUAUUGGGUUUAAAGGGUGCGCAGGCGGCCAUUUAAGUCAGCGGUUAAAUCGUGGGGCUCAACCCCAUUCUGCCGUUGAUACUGGGUGGCUUGAUUGCGGUCGAGGUUGGCGGAAUUCGUUGUGUAGCGGUGAAAUGCAUAGAUAUGACGAAGAACACCGAUUGCGUAGGCAGCUGACCAGACCGCAAAUGACGCUCAUGCACGAAAGUGCGGGGAUCGAACAGGAUUAGAUACCCUGGUAGUCCGCACAGUAAACGAUGAAUACUUGUUUUCGGCGAUAUAAUGUCGGAGGCAAAGCGAAAGCGAUAAGUAUUCCACCUGGGGAGUACGACCGCAAGGUUGAAACUCAAAGGAAUUGGCGGGG